UGGGGAAUAUUGGACAAUGGGCGCAAGCCUGAUCCAGCCAUGCCGCGUGUGUGAAGAAGGCCUUUUGGUUGUAAAGCACUUUAAGCGAGGAGGAGGCUACUUGGAUUAAUACUCUAGGAUAGUGGACGUUACUCGCAGAAUAAGCACCGGCUAACUCUGUGCCAGCAGCCGCGGUAAUACAGAGGGUGCGAGCGUUAAUCGGAUUUACUGGGCGUAAAGCGUGCGUAGGCGGCUUCUUAAGUCGGAUGUGAAAUCCCUGAGCUUAACUUAGGAAUUGCAUUCGAUACUGGGAAGCUUGAGUAUGAGAGAGGAUGGUAGAAUUCCAGGUGUAGCGGUGAAAUGCGUAGAGAUCUGGAGGAAUACCGAUGGCGAAGGCAGCCAUCUGGCCUAAUACUGACGCUGAGGUACGAAAGCAUGGGGAGCAAACAGG
rnacentral:rRNA from 1 species